AGGGCAUGUGCAGACAGGAAGUACAUGCCCUGUUAACAAGGUGGCAGCCCAUCUGACAUCUGCUGACGGUUUCUACACUGAAACAGGUCCAAUAUUACCAGGACUUUUGAUUUAUUAAGAGAAGCUGGAAAUCUGGGGCCUUAGGCAAAAUCUCCUGACUUAAAAAAAACACUUUGGCAUCUAGAUCCCCAUGAAUUCCAACAUGAUAUGGACCAAACACUCCUGGGCUCAGGUGAUCCUUCCACCUCAGCCUCCAGAAUAGCUGGGAUUAAAUACUGGCAACUCCCAACUUCAUCAGUCCUGUCACAAUGGUUUGAAGUAUGUGCAAGCCAUUUGUUAAGAAGCUAAUGAUACUAUAUUAGGCCGGGUGCAGUGGCUCAUGCCUGUAAUCCCAGCACUUUAGGAGACUGAGGCAGAUGGAUCACUUGAGGUUGUGCUAGAUGACUGUACAGACUUGGGAUUUGAGGUUUAGAUACAGACAUACUUGGGUCCCUUCCUACUCCCUUUUUAUAAUCCUUAAGUAAUUAAUAAUGGUUCCGUUCAUCACUUUAGAAAAUUUGGGGGAAUUAUUUUCAAAUAAUUUUAAUAAACUUCUAUGUUAGGAUUACAGGUGUGAGCCGCCGUGCCCAGUCUGAAGAGUCUGUAUGGAGUGAGGUGUGGAUCCCAAGGUUAGGGAACCCCAAAUUCCUGGAAGAGAACAACUUGGAAAUAUUAGUAUUUAAGAAUAUCACUCUUCUCUAUGGAAGUGGUUAAGAAUGUGACCUUGGAGCCACACUUUUCAAGUGACACUCCCAGCUCUGCCGUUUACUGUAGCCAUGGGAUAUGGAACAAAUUACUUCACCUGCUUGUUGCUUCAGUUGCCUCAUCUUUAACAUGAGGCCAAUAGGCCAGGUGUGGUGGCUUUAUACCUGUAAUCCCAGAACUUUGGGAGGCCAAGGUGGGCGGAUCACUUGAGCUCAGGAGUUCGAGACCAGCCUGGCCAGUGUGGCAAAAACCCAUCUCUACUAAAAUUACAAAAAUUAGCCAGGCGUGGUGGCAUGUGCCUGUAGUCCCAGUAACAGGCUAGGUGAAUCACUUCACCCCAGGAGGCAGAGGCUGCAGUGAGCUGAGAUCGUGCCACUGCACUCCAGCCUGGGUUACAAAGUGAGAUUCUAUCUCAAAAAACAACAACAACAAAAACAUGAGGCUAAUACUAGUCCCUAUCUCCAAGAUUGUUGUGAGGAUUAAAUGGAUUAAUAUGUGUGGAAUAUUUAGAAUAGUCCCUGGCCCAGUAAAUGUUAGAUGUUGUUAACUCAGUUAUUACUGUCUUGUCCUCUAGGACUUGGGAGAAUUAAGCAAACCAUUAAAAAUACUGUUGAUAAAUUCAUUUUUUUUUGUCCUUGAUUUGAACAGAAACUCAGCCACCUGUGACAAAUUUGAGUGUCUCUGUUGAAAACCUCUGCACAGUAAUAUGGACAUGGAAUCCACCCGAGGGAGCCAGCUCAAAUUGUAGUCUAUGGUAUUUUAGUCAUUUUGGCGACAAACAAGAUAAGGUAAGUUUUCUGCAACAUGUUACAUUGAUGAGGUAAAGUGAACACUAUGAAUUGGAGCCAAGAAUAAGCCAAAUUCUAGUCUUACGUCAAAGUGGAAAUUGUAUUUUAGGGUGUGUUUAAAUUUCAGUUGGGGAAAUUAUAGAAGCAACUAUUGACACAAGUGAACACUUAAAAAUAUUUGCUAAUUAUUUGACAAUUAAAUGCAAUUGAGAUUGCUCUGACAGGAAAUACUAGAUAUCUUUUUCUCUAAGGUACUCAAUAAAUAAUUAUGUUAUUGUUAAAAUUUGUUCCUAUGUUCCUGCCUGUAGCUGUAUUGCCUUGUAUCUAUAUAACACUUAAUUUUGGGGAAUUUUUACAUUUACCAUCUUGCUAAUCACAUGGACAAAUAGAUGUACAGGCACUAUGUGGUGUAAAAGUAAACGGCCAUAUGGAAAGUGAAAAAGUAAGUUGUCAGUGGCAGGUGUGUUUGAGUAGAGGGUUCUGUAAUGCCCGCGGAAAAAGGAGGAAGACUUUCAAGAUUUCUAGUCAACUGAUAUAAGUGAAUUUUUGUUAAUAGGUUUGGAUAAUUUCAGGUCCUUUAUGAUAAUCUUAUUCAACUUUUUUUUCAAAAUCUUUUUAUACCUUCUUUCGGUGUGUAUGUGUUUGUUGCAGGGUGGCGGCGGUGAGUGGGUUGGGUGUUUGGGGUUGAAUUUGUCCAGGAUUUUGAGUAGGCAGAAUGAGAAGUUAUUAGCAACAGUGCUUUGCAUCAGUGAAUUGUA
rnacentral:lncRNA from 1 species